UUAAUUACAUAAUGUAAGCCUUCAUUCAUUUGGGCUUAAUAAUAUGACGUUUGGGCCUAUUAUUGUUGGGCCCUGAUAUCUCAAGUUCCUACACUACACCUGCCAGAUUUUAACUUGCCUUUUGUUGUGGAAACAGACGCGUUUGCAGUAGCCGUGGGGGCUGUACUCAGCCAAAAGGGGCACCCGCUAUCCUUCUUCAGCAAGAAAAUGUGUCCAAGGCUCCAAGCUUCAUCUGUGUAUGUCCGAGAUAUGUAUGCAAUCACAGAAGUAGUAAAAAAAAUGGCGUCAGUACUUGUUAGGGCAACAUUUCAAAAUAAUCACAGAUAAAAAAAGUUUGAAUACACUUCAGUCACAAAAAAUACAAACUCCAGAACAACAAAGAUGGACAUCAAAGUUACAGGGAUAUGAUUUCCAAAUUCUAUACCGACCUGGUAAACAAAAUGUGGUUGCAGAUGCUCUCUCACGCCAAGACACAAAUUCGUCUUCAAUGUUGCUUGCACUCUCGUCGCCAAUACCAUUGUUGUUUGAAGAGUUACAACAAUUUUAUUCCACCAUAGAAGGAGCAAAAUUAGUUGACGCUUGCACUAAAGAUACACAAGGACCCAGCCUCUUCUCGGUCCGUCAUGGUCUACUAUUCUUUUGUCACCAAGUGUUUCUUCUAGAUACCAACAAUUUCAGAAACCGCAUCCUCCAAGAACUACAUGAAUCGCCCACAGCGGGUCAUUUCGGCAUUAACCCACCCUUGCUCGCAUUGUUGCUGCCUUCUACUGGCCGAGGUGGACUAGAGAUAUCAAGAACUACAUUCAACAAUGCACAACAUGUCAGCGUAACAAGUAUUUGCAAACAAAGCCCCAUGGAUUACUCACCAAGCGAUUCUCAGUUGAGAUUUGUCGUCUGCAUGGGCUGCCAAAAACCAUUGUCUCAGACCGAGAUCCCCUAUUUGUCAACACUUUUUGGAAACACCUAUUCAAGGCACAACAUUAAAGUUCAGUUCUGCUUACUAUCCGCAAACUGAUGGACAAACAAAAGUUCUUAAUCGAAGUUUGGAAGAUUACUUACGAUGCUUUGCUGGCGAACAUCCUCACACUUGGUUCCAAUAUCUUCAUCUAGCAGAACUUUGGCACAAUACGACUUACCACUAUGCCAUUGGAACCUCACCGUUCCAUGCUCUGUACGGAAGACAACCUCCCACCGCCCUAGAUCUGUUGCACAGUCCACGCUCAGGCACCACUGUUGCUGAUUUAUUGCACCAACACACGCUGGUUCUCCACGCCCUCAAACAAAACCUUCGUCGGGCCCGUCAACGAAUGUGCGACCAGGCCAACCGCCACCGAUCCGAACGCUCUUUUAACCCUGAUGACUGGGUAUGGGUACGUCUUCAACCUCACUGCCAGCAAUCGGUGAAGCGUCGUACAUGUUCGAAGCUCGCCCCUUGUUACUCGGGGCCUUAUCAAGUGCUCCGCCGCAUCGGCGCUAUGGCCUACGAACUCUGUUUACCAACCACCUCGCGAGUACACCCGGUAUUUCAUGUAUCCCUCCUCCAUGCUUUCAAAGGAACCCAUGUAGCCACUGACAUUAAUUCACUCUCUCACGCGGAUAGGGACUCGCCAAACUCUUUGAAUACCCCCACGCCUAACCCUAAAAGCCUUUCAAAUGUCCAACCACUUCACUCACCUAACUUUGAAACCCCUUCAGAAGAGCAAUUAAUGCCCCUAUCUAACUCUGCAUCACGUGACUCAACACUUUCCAACCAGCAUUUAAUAGCCCCACCUAACCCUGCAGAAUUUUUAAACCCGCCAUUAAGUGACUCACCUAACUCCCUGCCCCAACCACCCAUUCCAACCACUCACCAAAAGCCAUGUAAUGACCACACUACAGAUUCCCAAAUCCAAGACUUCACUCCUAACAAUUCUAUAACGUUCCAAAACAAUCCACAAAUAGGCCAGCCAAAUGUUCACCCUUUACACCCAACACAUCCUCAAGCCCAAUCCAAUAAUUACUCUUCAGCCCAAAUCAAUCCAACCACUCAAUUUGAGGACAGAGUGUUGGAACCGGCGGAUGGUACUGAUACAACAGGGCCCAACAAUAAUAGGCCCAAACGUCAGAUUAUUAAGCCCAAAUGGAUGAAGGAUUACUUUAUGUAAUUAAUCAGGUGUUAUUAGAAAGUUUAUGAAACCAUGUAAGGCCAGUUUGGCCCAUACAACUUCUAUUUAGGUCAGUUUUUAACAGUAAUUAAAGAAGAAGAAUUUUGAUGUUACCCUAGUGUUGAAUUAUCUUAGUGUAGUCGUAGAAGAAGCCUAUCAAUUGGUGCUUUCAUUGACCUUCUCAAUGCCUCCUCCUAAACCCCAAACCAAAGACCUAGAAGAAAUUCUACAAUCCAUUCAAGAACAUCUGUCAUGUAUUCAGGUGCAGAUGGAAGAUAAUCACACCUGCCAGGCAGCCAUGGAGACACAUAAUGAUUCUGUUCAAUCCACCCUCACCUUUCUCAUGAAUCAAAUUCCCUCCACACACUGAUGAAAACACAAAUCACCCCCUGGCAACACCCAAUAUAAUAGCAACCCCCUUCCACUAUCCGACCACCCAAACUCCAGUUAGCCUUUUUUGAAGGUCCUGAACCUCUAGAUUGGCUCUUCCAAGCAGAACAGUAUUUUGCGUUUUAUCAUAUUCCACCUGAACAAAGGAUUUCUAUGGUAGCUUUUCACAUGAAGGGAGAGACUCUCAGUUGGUUUAAAUGGUUGCAUCAAAGCAACCUUAUCACAGACUGGCCUUCCUUCACUCGAGCCUUGGAACUACGUUUUGGACUGUCCACCUACACUAACCAUCAAGCAGAAUUAUUCAAACUCCAGCAAACCACCACGGUAACAGAUUAUCAAUCCCGUUUUGAGAAGUUAUGCAACUGCGUAGUUGGACUCAUUUAUGAUAUUAUACUUAAUUGCUUUAUUUCGGGACUCCAACCUGAAAUCCGCAGAGAACUCUCUAUCCUCAACCCAUAUUCUGUUUCCCAAGCCAUUGGUCUAGCCAAACUCAUUGAGGACAAACUUCGUGACUCCAAACCUAGACCCCAACGUUUUCUUACCCCCCAAACAACCCAUCCUUCCCCAUAUUGCCUAACAAGAAAUCCACUAUCAACCAUCAAAUAAAUCAUUCCUUGCCCAUUAAACGCCUCACACCAACCCAGUUGCAAGAACGUCGUGUCCUUGAUUUAUGCUACAACUGUGAUGAGAAAUUUACCCCAGGGCAUAGAUGCACCACUUCUCGUUUCCUUCUUCUCUUGGAUGACUCAGACACCACGUUAGAAACUAUUGAGACUGCACCAACAAACACUGAAUGCCCAAACACCAUCCAUGUUCAUUUAUCACCCCAAGCCCUCACAGGCAACACAUCUCCCAAAACUCUAAAAUUUACCGGCACAAUCCACAACCUGCCUGUAACGGUUCUCAUUGAUUCAGGCAGCUCCCACAACAUUCUCCAGCCCCGCAUAGCUCACCACCUCCAUCUACCCAUUACACCAAGCCCCCCUUGUCAGUGAUGGUAGGAAACGGGGCCUUCAUACAAUACCAAGGGAUAUGCCCCUUAGUGGACAUCUCUCUUCAAACUUCUACAUUCACCAUUCCUUUCUAGCUAUUACCUAUUGAAGGAGCAAAUGUAGUUUUGGGUAUUGAAUGGUUGCGCACUCUAGGGCCUAUUCAGGAAGGUUUCUCUAUACCCAACAUUGCUUUCACUCACCAGAACAAACAAAUCACCUUACAAGCUGCCACUCCAUCUACCCCAAUUUUAACCACUUACCACCAAUUUUGUCAAUACCUAUCCACCCAUUCCAUUGCAUCCCUUCACCUGCUUUUAAUAGACAACAACCUGAUUCCAUCAAUGACCUUGGACUCUGACUUACAAAACCCAUCAUCUCCAUUAUAUUCCCUUCCUUUUUCCAUUCAGUCAAUUCUUCUACAAAACAAAACAAUCUUUCAAAAACCCAAAGGUUUGCCACCACCCAAACCACAUGACCACCACAUACCCCUUUUGCCUCAUACCCCACCCAUUAAUGUUAAACCAUAUCGUUAUCCCUACUCCUACAAGGAAAUUAUAACCCACCUCAUCUCUGAGAUGCUUCAAGAGGGUAAACCCAGCACAAGCCUGUCUUUUUCCCCUGUCCUCCUCAUAAAAAAAAAAGAUGGUAGUUGGCGCUUUUGUGUGAACUACAGAGCCUUAAAUGCAGCCACCAUCCGUGACCUCUUUCCCAUCCCUACCAUCGAUGAAUUGCUCGAUGAACUAGGCUCAGCUAUAGUUUUCACUAAGAUUGAUUUAUACUCAGGGUAUCAUCAAAUUAGACUUAUUCCUCAAGACACUCACAAAUCAGCUUUUAGAACCAUUGAUGGACAUUACGAAUUUUUAGUCAUGCCUUUUGGAUUGACUAAUGCACCCUCCACUUUUCAGGCAGCCAUGAAUGACCUUUCAGACCUUAUUUAUGGCAUUUUUUCAUUGUUUUCUUUGAUGAUAUUUUGAUUUAUAGUCCCAGUUUGCAGGAACAUAUUGUGCACUUAAAUAUUAUCUUAGAAGUUUUGCAUACUAAGAAAUUUUUUGCUAAGUUAUCUAGGUGCAGUUUUGCCACUUCUCAAGUAAAUUAUUUGGGCCAUAUCAUUUCGGCUAAAGGAAUAGCCCCUGAUCCAGAAAAAGUGAUUGCCAUACACAAUUGGCCGCAGCCACGUUCACUCACGGAAUUACGUGGUUUUCUCGACCUCACAGGAUUUUAUAGAAAGUUUGUUUAUCACUACGCCACUCUCGCCGCUCCUCUCACCGAUUUGUUGCAUAAUAAAAAAUUUACAUGGAGUGUCUCGGCUUAGGAGGCCUUUACAAAAUUAAAAUUACAAAUAUCUCAAGUUCCUACACUACACCUGCCAGAUUUUUCCUUGUCUUUUGUUGUGGAAACAGAUGCAUUUGCAAUAGCCGUGGGGGCUAUACUCAGCCAAAAGGGGCACCCGCUAUCCUUCUUCAGCAAGAAAAUGUGUCC
rnacentral:lncRNA from 1 species